rnacentral:rRNA from 1 species
AAGGUCCCAAAGUCAUGGUUAAGUGGGAAACGAUGUGGGAAGGCCCAGACAGCCAGGAUGUUGGCUUAGAAGCAGCCAUCAUUUAAAGAAAGCGUAAUAGCUCACUGGUCGAGUCGGCCUGCGCGGAAGAUGUAACGGGGCUAAACCAUGCACCGAAGCUGCGGCAGCGACGCUUAUGCGUUGUUGGGUAGGGGAGCGUUCUGUAAGCCUGUGAAGGUGUGCUGUGAGGCAUGCUGGAGGUAUCAGAAGUGCGAAUGCUGACAUAAGUAACGAUAAAGCGGGUGAAAAGCCCGCUCGCCGGAAGACCAAGGGUUCCUGUCCAACGUUAAUCGGGGCAGGGUGAGUCGACCCCUAAGGCGAGGCCGAAAGGCGUAGUCGAUGGGAAA